rnacentral:tRNA from 1 species
GCCGGGAUGGAGAAAUUGGUAGACUCGGGGGUCUCAAAAGCCCCUUCUCGUGAGAGAGUGUCGGUUCGAGCCCGACUCCCGGCA